rnacentral:rRNA from 1 species
UACGUAGGGCGCAAGCGUUAUCCGGAAUUAUUGGGCGUAAAGAGCUCGUAGGCGGUUUGUCGCGUCUGCCGUGAAAGUCCGGGGCUCAACUCCGGAUCUGCGGUGGGUACGGGCAGACUAGAGUGAUGUAGGGGAGACUGGAAUUCCUGGUGUAGCGGUGAAAUGCGCAGAUAUCAGGAGGAACACCGAUGGCGAAGGCAGGUCUCUGGGCAUUAACUGACGCUGAUACGCGAAAGCGUGGGGAGCAAACAGG